AUGGCUCAGUUAUUCGAACGAUGCAACUGUUGAAAAAUCAGUAAGUAGAGUGAUGAGAUCUCUUUAUUCGUCUCAAAUGGCAAAAGAAACAAAUAGAACUAGUAAGAAUGGCAAAUUGGCCAUGAAUUUGAUAGAGGAUCUAGUAAAAGAAAGUGUCAGGAAAAAGCAUAUCAAUGGGGAGAACGUUACCAUUGAGCGAGCACUGACUAACCAUUUUAUUAAUGCAAGAGAUAAAGGUGGGCGUCAUAAUCGGAAAAGAGUUACCAACAAUGCUUCAAACUAAUAGCUGUAUCACUAUCCUAAUGUAAUUGUAAAUUUAAUGGAAUAAAAAUAAAUUCAUUUUUCGA